UGUUUCCAUUAAUCAAGAACGAAAGUUAGAGGUUCGAAGGCGAUCAGAUACCGCCCUAGUUCUAACCAUAAACGAUGCCAGCCAGCGAUCCGGCUGCGUUCCUCAAAUGACGCGCCGGGCAGCUUCCGGGAAACCAGAGCUUCUGGGUUCCGGGGGGAGUAUGGUUGCAAAGCUGGAACUUAAAGGAAUUGACGGAAAGACACCACCAGGUGUGGGACCUGCGGCUCAAUUUGACUCAACACGGGGAAGCUAACCCGGCCCGGACACAGGAAGGAUUGACAGAUUGAGAGCUCUUUCUUGAUUCUGUGAGGUGUGGUGCAUGGCCGUCCUUAGUUGGUGGAGCGAUUUGUCUGCUUAAUUGCGUUAACGAACGAAAUCCCAACCUGCUAAAUAGGCGCUCCGAUCCUUCGAGUCGGACGCUCUUCUUAGAGGGACCGGCGGCGUUCAGCCGCACGAAACGGGGCCAUGACAGGUCUGGAAUGCCCUCAGAUGUCCGGGGCCGCACGCGCGUCACAUUGGAGGGAUCAGCGUGCGCUCUCCCGGCCCGACAGGGUCGGGUAACCCGUUGAACCCCCUCCGUGCUUGGGAUAGGCGUUUGUAACUAUCCGCCUUGAACGAGGAACACCCAGUAAGCGCGAUUCAUCAAAUCGUGUUGAUUACGUCCCUGUCUUUUGUCCACACCGCCCGUCGCUAUACCCGAUGGGGCGAUUUAGUGAGUUCUUCGGACCGGCGCCCGAACUGGCCUUCGGGUCGGGUCGGAGUGCCGGAAAGACGAGCGAACUUGACCGCCUAGAGGAGAUAAAAGUCGUAACAAGGUAUCC
rnacentral:rRNA from 1 species